CCUACGGGAGGCAGCAGUGAGGAAUAUUGGUCAAUGGACGGAAGCCUGAACCAGCCAUGCCGCGUGCAGGAUGACGGUCCUAUGAGUUGUAAACCGCUUUUGUACGAGAGUAAUAGUCGUUACGUGUAGCGUUCUGAACGUAUCGUACGAAUAAGGAUCGGCCAACUCCGUGCCAGCAGCCGCGGUAAUACGGAGGAUUCGAGCGUUAUCCGGAUUUAUUGGGUUUAAAGGGUGCGUAGGCUGCCGGAUAAGUUAGAGGUGAAAAUUGAGGGCUUAACCCCUUGCCUGCCUUUGAUACUGUUCUGCUAGAGAGCGGGUGUAGCAGGCGGAAUGAGUGGUGUAGCGGUGAAAUGCAUAGAUAUUACGCAGAACACCGAUUGCGCAGGCAGCAUGCUAGUGCUCAACUGACGCUGAUGCACGAAAGCGUGGGUAGCGAACAGGAUUAGAUACCCUUGUAGUC
rnacentral:rRNA from 1 species